GACGAACCGUGCGAACGUUGUUCGGAAUUACUGGGCGUAAAGCGCACGUAGGCGGCUUUGUAAGUUAGAGGUGAAAGCCCAGGGCUUAACCCUGGAAUUGCCUUUAAGACUGCAUCGCUAGGAUCGUGGAGAGGUAAGUGGAAUUCCGAGUGUAGAGGUGAAAUUCGUAGAUAUUCGGAAGAACACCAGUGGCGAAGGCGACUUACUGGACACGUAUUGACGCUGAGGUGCGAAAGCGUGGGGAGCAAACAGG
rnacentral:rRNA from 1 species